UUCUCGUCUUGCCCGGUGGAACUACGAGAAAGAAGCUCUUUAAAAAGAAAAGAAAAAGGAAUUGAAAGUAAGAAAUGGCUGCAACACCAUGCGUUUAUCUACGCCAUGAGCUCAUA
rnacentral:ribozyme from 1 species